ACACAUGCAAGUCGAGCGGUAGCACAGGAGAGCUUGCUCUCUGGGUGACGAGCGGCGGACGGGUGAGUAAUGUCUGGAAACUGCCUGAUGGAGGGGGAUAACUACUGGAAACGGUAGCUAAUACCGCAUGACCUCGCAAGAGCAAAGUGGGGGACCUUUCGGGCCUCACGCCCAUCGGAUGUGCCCAGAUGGGAUUAGCUAGUAGGUGGGGUAAUGGCUCACCUAGGCGACGAUCCCUAGCUGGUCUGAGAGGAUGACCAGCCACACUGGAACUGAGACACGGUCCAGACUCCUACGGGAGGCAGCAGUGGGGAAUAUUGCACAAUGGGCGCAAGCCUGAUGCAGCCAUGCCGCGUGUGUGAAGAAGGCCUUAGGGUUGUAAAGCACUUUCAGCGAGGAGGAAGGGUUCAGUGUUAACAGCACUGUACAUUGACGUUACUCGCAGAAGAAGCACCGGCUAACUCCGUGCCAGCAGCCGCGGUAAUACGGAGGGUGCAAGCGUUAAUCGGAAUUACUGGGCGUAAAGCGCACGCAGGCGGUUUGUUAAGUCAGAUGUGAAAUCCCCGAGCUUAACUUGGGAACUGCAUUUGAAACUGGCAAGCUAGAGUCUUGUAGAGGGGGGUAGAAUUCCAGGUGUAGCGGUGAAAUGCGUAGAGAUCUGGAGGAAUACCGGUGGCGAAGGCGGCCCCCUGGACAAAGACUGACGCUCAGGUGCGAAAGCGUGGGGAGCAAAC
rnacentral:rRNA from 1 species